UACCGGUCCACUGCCGGAUAUACCGGAGC
rnacentral:sRNA from 1 species